rfam:Triticum aestivum genome assembly, contig: Triticum_aestivum_CS42_TGACv1_scaffold_163197_2DL
AUUGUACUCCCUCCUCCUAAAAUUCUUGUCUUAGAUUACUCUAGAUACGGAUGUAUCUAAUACUAAAAUGUGACUUGAUACAUCCGUAUUUAGACAAAUCUAAGACAAGAAUUUUGAGAUGGGGGUAUUCC